GAUGAACGCUAGCGGCAGGCUUAGCACAUGCAAGUCGAGGGGCAGCACGUCUUCGGAUGGUGGCGACCGGCGCACGGGUGCGUAACGCGUAUAGAACCUACCUUUUACAGGGGAAUAGCCCAGAGAAAUUUGGAUUAAUGCCCCAUAGUAUUAUUGAAUGGCAUCAUUUAAUAAUUAAACAUUUAUGGGUAAAAGAUGGCUAUGCGUUCUAUUAGCUAGUAGGUAAGGUAACGGCUUACCUAGGCAACGAUAGAUAGGGGUCCUGAGAGGGAGAUCCCCCACACUGGUACUGAGACACGGACCAGACUCCUACGGGAGGCAGCAGUGAGGAAUAUUGGACAAUGGGCGAGAGCCUGAUCCAGCCAUGCCGCGUGCAGGAAGACGGUCCUAUGGAUUGUAAACUGCUUUUUAUACAGGAAGAAACACUCGGACGUGUCCGAGCUUGACGGUACUGUAUGAAUAAGCACCGGCUAACUCCGUGCCAGCAGCCG
rnacentral:rRNA from 1 species